rnacentral:tRNA from 1 species
GGGGUUGUGGCGGAAUUGGCAGACGCAGUUGACUUAAAAUCAACCGGGUUGACGCCCGUGUGGGUUCGAGUCCCACCUACCCCA